UGUUUGACUAUUCGUCUUAUUCAAAUACAAUGUUUGACUCUUCGUCUUAUUAAAAAAAAUACGAUUAAUAAUUUUAUUUUUAUUAGAUGAUAAAACAUGAAUAGUACUUUAUGUGUGACUAAUUUUUUAAAAUUUCUUGAAAAAUUUUUAAAUAAGACGGAUGGUCAAACGCUCGACACAAAAACCGAAAAGUUCGUUUGUU
rnacentral:pre_miRNA from 1 species